rnacentral:rRNA from 1 species
UACGAGGGGGGCUAGCGUUGCUCGGAAUUACUGGGCGUAAAGGGCGCGUAGGCGGCGCGAUAAGUUGGGCGUGAAAGGCCCGGGCUCAACCCGGGGACUGCGCUUGAUACUGUCGCGCUGUGAGUCCGGGAGAGGAUGGCGGAAUUCCCAGUGUAGAGGUGAAAUUCGUAGAUAUUGGGAAGAACACCGGUGGCGAAGGCGGCCAUCUGGACCGGCACUGACGCUGAGGCGCGAAAGCGUGGGGAGCAAACAGG